GACGAACCGUACGAACGUUAUUCGGAAUCACUGGGCUUAAAGGGUGCGUAGGCGGCGCGACAAGUUGGGUGUGAAAUCCCUCGGCUCAACCGAGGAACUGCGCCCAAAACUGUCGUGCUCGAGGGAGACAGAGGUGAGCGGAACUUAGGGUGGAGCGGUGAAAUGCGUUGAUAUCCUAAGGAACACCGGUGGCGAAAGCGGCGCACUGGACCUUUUCUGACGCUGAGGCGCGAAAGCUAGGGGAGCAAACGGG
rnacentral:rRNA from 1 species